CUUCGAUGGGUUGCGUGGUGUCACGUACUUCAAAGAUAAGGGCAAAAGUAAAAAAGGGUAUCUUGAAGGACACAGAAUUCACACAGACUUUUUAGAACUCGGUCUAUUUUUACGGUUAUUUUUUACAUUUUCUGAAUGGAAAUUUAACUUGAAAGUAGGGAUCUCCGAGGGCUAUUUAGUUUAAAAGAAUCUCCUUGAAGCUGAAAAUUCUUUAUUGAGGUAAAGAGUGAUUCGAGAGCUUUGGGUGUGUUAAUUCGACAUUUUUAUUAGGGGAAAUUUUCUUAGGGUUUUAGGGCCAAGAAAGAAGAGGAAAUUUGAACCUGGACAUCAAAGCUACAAUUUAGGAUCCAUCAUCAAUGUCGAUUUUUGGACUACGGAUAGGGCUAUGAUCAGGAUCUGCCUAGUUUUCUCUGUUUGAAAAAAUGAAAAUAAACCUACUGCUACUGAUCCUUAUGAUGAAGAGGAGAAGGAAAUGAGAAUGUUGGAGUGAUUUCACGGAUAAAUAUUGAAACAGUCGAGUUUGAAUUAGUGACAUGGCUAUGUGGCUACCGUACUGGAUAUACGACCACUAGGACCAGAGUUCGAUUCUUCCUGAUUACGACAUUUUUUUUAUUUUAGAAUUUUAUUAAUUUUUAUUUUCAUACUUUUUUAAAUUGUUAUAUAAUCAUGCAAUUUUAAAAUAAAAAAUAUUUCUCGACAAUUAUUAAUAAUUUAAAUGAUAUAAAUCUAUAUCGAUUUUUUAUAUAUUAGUAUUUAAGAUUAAAAAAAGAAAAAUGUAAUGCUCUCUCUCUCUCUUUCUCUCUCUCCCAAAAUUGCAUCCUCCAUUGAAUGUGCACCUUCAAAGAUUUAAUCUUUCUCCAUAAUUCUCACAUGUAGCACCGUCUAACUAGAAAGUAAUGAAUCGGGUAUUAAAUCGCUCUACUUAUAAGACCUAUGAGAACAGAUUUAAUCCGCAAUAACUGAUUCUCUUUAUGUAGCAACGGGACGAUCAUGGUACGAUUUUCCAGUAACAAAUUUUAUGCAAAUCCUAAAUUUCCCCCAUUCGUAAAUUUAUA